rnacentral:rRNA from 1 species
AGUGAACGCUGGCGGUAGGCCUAACACAUGCAAGUCGAACGGCAGCACAGUAAGAGCUUGCUCUUACGGGUGGCGAGUGGCGGACGGGUGGGGAAUACAUCGGAAUCUACUUUUUCGUGGGGGAUAACGUAGGGAAACUUACGCUAAUACCGCAUACGACCUACGGGUGAAAGCAGGGGAUCUUCGGACCUUGCGCGAUUGAAUGAGCCGAUGUCGGAUUAGCUAGUUGGCGGGGUAAAGGCCCACCAAGACGACGAUCCGUAGCUGGUCUGAGAGGAUGAUCAGCCACACUGGAACUGAGACACGGUCCAGACUCCUACGGGAGGCAGCAGUGGGGAAUAUUGGACAAUGGGCGCAAGCCUGAUCCAGCCAUACCGCGUGGGUGAAGAAGGCCUUCGGGUUGUAAAGCCCUUUUGUUGGGAAAGAAAAGCAGCAGGUUAAUACCCCGCUGUUCUGACGGUACCCAAAGAAUAAGCACCGGCUAACUUCGUG